rnacentral:rRNA from 1 species
GACGAACGCUGGCGGCGUGCUUAACACAUGCAAGUCGAACGGUGACGAUCAAGCUUGCUUGGUCUGAUCAGUGGCGAACGGGUGAGUAACACGUGAGUAACCUGCCCCAGACUCUGGGAUAACCCCGGGAAACCGGAGCUAAUACCGGAUAUGACAUGCCCCUGCACGGGGAGUGUGUGGAAAGUUUUUCGGUCUGGGAUGGACUCGCGGCCUAUCAGCUUGUUGGUGAGGUAAUGGCUCACCAAGGCGACGACGGGUAGCCGGCCUGAGAGGGCGACCGGCCACACUGGGACUGAGACACGGCCCAGACUCCUACGGGAGGCAGCAGUGGGGAAUAUUGCACAAUGGGCGAAAGCCUGAUGCAGCGACGCCGCGUGAGGGAUGACGGCCUUCGGGUUGUAAACCUCUUUCAGCAGGGAAGAAGCGCAAGUGACGGUACCUGCAGAAGAAGCACCGGCUAACUACGUGCCAGCCGCCGCGAUAA